rnacentral:rRNA from 1 species
UCGCGGCCUAUCAGCUUGUUGGUGCGGUAACGGCGCACCAAGGCUAUGACGGGUAGCUGGUCUGAGAGGAUGGCCAGCCACAUUGGGACUGCGACACGGCCCAGACUCCUACGGGAGGCAGCAGUGGGGAAUAUUGCGCAAUGGACGAAAGUCUGACGCAGCGACGCCGCGUGGGGGAUGAAGCAUUUCGGUGUGUAAACCCCUGUUGCUCGGGACGAACAAGCCUUUUCGAGGGCUCUGACGGUACCGGGUGAGGAAGCACCGGCUAACUCUGUGCCAGCAGCCGCGGUAAUACAGAGGGUGCGAGCGUUGUCCGGAAUCACUGGGCGUAAAGGGCGCGUAGGCGGCCGAUCAAGUGUGUGGUGAAAGCCCGGGGCUCAACCCCGGGUCUGCCGUGCAAACUGGUUGGCUUGAGCACUGUAGAGGCAGGUGGAAUUCCGGGUGUAGCGGUGGAAUGCGUAGAGAUCCGGAAGAACACCGGUGGCGAAGGCGGCCUGCUGGGCAGUAGCUGACGCUGAGGCGCGACAGCGUGGGGAGCAAACAGGAUUAGAUACCCUGGUAGUCCACGCCGUAAACGAUGGGCACUAGGUGCUUGGGGGAGCGACCCCCUGAGUGCCGUCGCUAACGCAUUAAGUGCCCCGCCUGGGGAGUACGG